ACCGCAUUGCGUGCGUCUCGCUACCUGCGCAGCUAAGCUACUAUUUUGCGUGAUAGACAGACGAACGGACGAACAGACGUAUACGGGUAUUAUAAUAUAGAAUCAAAGAAAAAAGAAAUACACAUGAGGCUACCCGCAUACCUUGCUUUUAAUGCUAGUCUGGUUUGAUGGUAAUAAUAUACAAAACACAUCACAUCACUGAAAAAGAGUACCAUGACUUGCCAAGAGUAUUGCAAGAGAGAGUUUGCGUUACCUGCAGAAGUCCAAAGCUCAUUUCAACUUUGCCAGAUGAAUAGUAGAACCACAGUGUUCAUCUAUGAUGAGGGUCAGGGCUUCAAAAAUAGCACUGUCAGGAGGUUUAGAAGACUGGUUAAUUAUGUGAUUAGCCUGAUAAGAGCAAGGAACUUGUUGAAUCGACUUUAAGAGAAAUCAAGAGAGAUCGGUAGAGAUAUUGUAUGUUUUUAGGGUUUUUAAUUUUAAUACAUUAAUAAAAACGUUUUAAUGUU